CAAUCAGCGAGACUCCGUGGGCGUAGGACCCUCCGAGCCAGUUGCAGGAUACAAUCUCGUGGUGCACCGUUCCCUAAGCAGUUCGGAAAAGCGUAAUAUUUGGGUGGGAGUGAUCCGAUUUUCCAGGUGCGUCCGUCACCCCUCUCAUUGACUCGGAAAGGGAACUCCCCAACCCCUUGCGCUUCCCAAGUGAGGCAAUGCCUCGCCCCGCUUCGGCUCGCGCACAGUGCGCGCACCCACCGAUCUGCGCCCGCCGUCUGGCACUCCCCAGUGAGAUGAACCCGGCACCUCAGAGGGAAAUGCAGAAAUCACCCGUCCUCUGCGUCACUCACGCCGGGAGCUGCAGACUGGAGCCGUUCCCAUUCGGCCAUCUUGGCUCCUCCCCCCAGAUAUGAACAGACAACUUUAAAAAACUGAGGUUGGAUUUAUGAAACCAGUAAAAGCCCCUUGAAGAAGCUGAGCUGGUACCUUGAAUACAAGUUUCCUGGCCUUGUGGAGAUUCAAGAAUGUGACUUUCUGACCUGCCUUGGGACCUCAAAAUAUUUUGUGA
rnacentral:lncRNA from 1 species